GUACAGAGGGGAAGUCGACCAAUCACAGAAGAUUCUGCCCUGCACCAUGCUGGUUUACUGGAAAAAGAAAUUGCCAUGGGGAUUGUACUUCUGGUUACCACAGUUUUGUGUCCUCUGCAAAGUGUGAAUACGCAUCAUAUUAUGUUUGGGGGGGAAAAAAAGAUGAUCCUUGUACUGUGUUUUGUCCUGUUUGAGAUUUAUGAUGGAUCACUUCCACUAUUGAAUAAACUACCUUGGGCAUUAGAUUGCCUGGAAAACCAAAUCUCCAGAAUUUACAUAUAAAUUGGGAUGUGAGAAUAAAACAUGGGUGUACAAAAGAAGCUUUUAGCACAGUGAGGGGAUUUGGAAGUUAUAAUCUCGAACAAGGUUGCUAAAAUGUUUCCCAGCUUAAAUGGUUGUCCUGCAGAUGCUUAUUGUUUUGGAUGCCAUUGUGCUGAGGGACAUAAACUUCGGAUGGUGGUGUUUAUCUGUGGCAUGUGGGCCAGAUUUCUUGAAGCGGAACCUGGUCAUGCUUAAUUCAAAACUACACAGUCAUUCAAGUCAAUUAGAAAUUCCACCCACCGGUUUUUAAAUUUGCUAUCUUUCUCAACCCCCUGCCCCUUUAAAAUUCAAAACUCUCAAUUUUCUUCUGUCUGAAUUAUAUGUCUUUUCACACAGCCAGUGCAUACAGAACUGAAAUUUACAGUUCUUACUGGACCACUGAUAUACUGCACAAGUGAACAAUCGGUACGAUCAGCACACAUGAAGCAACACACAUGAAGGGGGAAACUAUUACUGUCAGGGUUAUAACACAA